CCUCCCUAGACAUGCUGUAGGUGUCGCUGCUGUGUCACGUGUGUGUCAGUAGAUGGCAGAGAGGAAAGAGGCUGUGUCCACACUAGUAUUCUGACCUAUGAACGUCUGAGCCAUUGGUAGCCUAAUAGU